GACGAACGCUGGCGGCGUGCUUAACACAUGCAAGUCGAACGGAAAGGCCCUGCUUUUGUGGGGUGCUCGAGUGGCGAACGGGUGAGUAACACGUGAGUAACCUGCCCUUGACUUUGGGAUAACUUCAGGAAACUGGGGCUAAUACCGGAUAGGAGCUCCCGCUGCAUGGUGGGGGUUGGAAAGUUUCGGCGGUUGGGGAUGGACUCGCGGCUUAUCAGCUUGUUGGUGGGGUAGUGGAUUACCAAGGCUUUGACGGGUAGCCGGCCUGAGAGGGUGAACGGUCACAUAGGGUCGGAGUGAGGGCCGAGACACAUUCGGGCGGGAGGAAGGAGGAGGGUAGCAUAGAGGGCGGACGCAUGCCGGAGCCACGCCGGGUGCGGGAUGGCGGAAUUCGGGUGGGAAGCCAAGUUCGCUUGUCACGGAGCGUGAGUGAAGGUACGGGAGAAAGAGGCACGGCUUACCUCGGU
rnacentral:rRNA from 1 species